rnacentral:lncRNA from 1 species
AAAAAGCAUGCAUUCUCAUGCACAGGGUCCUGAAGAAUCUCUAAGUCAGUCUUUCAUUGAAGGUUCAUGUUCUACCCAUAAGGAAAAAAUACAUAAUAACACACAUAGCAAGAAUUUCAGAAAUAAUACCCUCUGAAAUGUAUCCUCCAAGUUGUGAGAGUAAAGACAUUUGAGUUCCUGCUGAGGUAUCUGCAGAACUGGGACAUUAUCAAUGA